AACUGGACAUCGCAUCAAUGUCUGACAUGGCAGCAAGUGGAGGAUACUAUAUGGCAAUGGCAGCAGAUGCCAUUGUUGCAGAAAAUUUAACCUUAACUAGUUCCAUUGGAGUUGUCACAGGUAAGUUUAACCUGGGAAAACUGUAUAAGAAGAUUGGCUUUGACAAGGAAAUCAUAUCAAGGGGGAAUUUGCAGAGGUUCUUGCAGCUGAACAACGACCCUUUAAACUAGAGGAAGCUGAACUCUUUGCUAAGUCUGCACAUAAUUCGUAUAAGCAAUUUCAGGACAAGGCAGCUU